UUGACCUCGGAUCAGGUAGGAAUACCCGCUGAACUUAAGCAUAUCAAUAAGCGGAGGAAAAGAAACCAACAGGGAUUGCCCUAGUAACGGCGAGUGAAGCGGCAACAGCUCAAAUUUGAAAUCUGGCUCUCGGGCCCGAGUUGUAAUUUGUAGAGGAUACUUUUGAUGCGGUGCCUUCCGAGUUCCCUGGAACGGGACGCCAUAGAGGGUGAGAGCCCCGUCUGGUUGGAUGCCAAAUCUCUGUAAAGUUCCUUCAACGAGUCGAGUAGUUUGGGAAUGCUGCUCUAAAUGGGAGGUAUAUGUCUUCUAAAGCUAAAUACCGGCCAGAGACCGAUAGCGCACAAGUAGAGUGAUCGAAAGAUGAAAAGCACUUUGAAAAGAGAGUUAAAAAGUACGUGAAAUUGUUGAAAGGGAAGCGUUUAUGACCAGACUUGGGCUUGGUUAAUCAUCUGGGGUUCUCCCCAGUGCACUUUUCCAGUCCAGGCCAGCAUCAGUUUUCCCCGGGGGAUAAAGGCGGCGGGAAUGUGGCUCUCUUCGGGGAGUGUUAUAGCCCACCGUGUAAUACCCUGGGGGGGACUGAGGUUCGCGCAUCUGCAAGGAUGCUGGCGUAAUGGUCAUCAACGACCCGUCUUGAAACACGGACCAAGGAGUCGUCUUCGUAUGCGAGUGUUCGGGUGUCAAACCCCUACGCGUAAUGAAAGUGAACGCAGGUGAGAGCUUCGGCGCAUCAUCGACCGAUCCUGAUGUUCUCGGAUGGAUUUGAGUAAGAGCAUACGGGGCCGGACCCGAAAGAAGGUGGACUAUGCCUGUAUAGGGUGAAGCCAGAGGAAACUCUGGUGGAGGCUCGCAGCGGUUCUGACGUGCAAAUCGAUCGUCAAAUAUGGGCAUGGGGGCGAAAGACUAAUCGAACCUUUCUAGUAGCUGGUUUCCGCCGAAGUUUCCCUCAGGAUAAUCGAAUUCCCGC
rnacentral:rRNA from 1 species